UGGUAAGGAAAUGAGAUCAUUUUCAAGAAGAAAAGGAUCAGGGUCUCGAAGAAAAAUAGUUAGCAAGAUGACUUAAGUAGAAAAGAGGAUGUUGAUAGGCCCAUGUCUAAUCCUCUUGCACCAGAAUCUGAAACUUUUGCUAAGUAUAGAAACUCAUUGAUGUCAGGACAACAAUUGAUUGAGAGUGUUGCCGAACAAGUACCAAGUUUCGUAACUGAACUGGUAUUUCUCCAAUACUGUGUAUCAUGUCUCUCUAACACUAUUUGUUAUCAAGUUCUCAUCCAUUAGGAUCCAUGAAAAAAGGUUUAGUCUCUUCCAAGGGCAGUGACUGUGCUAUCAGGUUUGGUGACUUGAUAGCUAUUAGACAAUUUUGUUUUGGUAGACAAGAAAUAUAUAUAUACAUCUGAAUGUCAUAUUCAUAGUUACGAAUGAGCAAGCUUUCACCAUUUCCCUAUGUGUUUAAACUAUAUAUUUAGAUCA